UACGUAGGGUGCAAGCGUUGUCCGGAAUUAUUGGGCGUAAAGAGCUCGUAGGCGGUUUGUUGCGUCGGCUGUGAAAUCCCGAGGCUCAACCUCGGGUCUGCAGUCGAUACGAGCAAACUAGAGUGUUGCAGGGGAGACUGGAAUUCCUGGUGUACGCGGUGAAAUGCGCAGAUAUCAGGGAGGGAACACCGGUGGGCGAAAGGCGGGUCUC
rnacentral:rRNA from 1 species